rnacentral:rRNA from 1 species
CUAAGUUUGAUGGCGACCGGCGCACGGGUGAGUAACACGUAUCCAACCUGCCGAUGACUCGGGGAUAGCCUUUCGAAAGAAAGAUUAAUACCCGAUGGCAUAGUUCUUCCGCAUGGUGGAACUAUUAAAGAAUUUCGGUCAUCGAUGGGGAUGCGUUCCAUUAGGUUGUUGGCGGGGUAACGGCCCACCAAGCCUUCGAUGGAUAGGGGUUCAGAGAGGAAGGUCCCCCACAUUGGAACUGAGACACGGUCCAAACUCCUACGGGAGGCAGCAUG